rnacentral:lncRNA from 1 species
GGGGAAAGUUACAACAGGAGACUGCUACUAACACCUUUCUAUCACCAGAGGGUGUAAGUGUCCAACCAACAGCACCACCUCUACAGGAGACUGCUACUAACACCUUUCUAUCACCAGAGGGCGUAAGUGUCCAACUAACAGCGCCACCUCCAUAUGCUGGGAGGCCCCCAACCCCCGCAGUUGAUAGUUGGGAUCCUGAGACAAGGUCUCAAAUAUUAACAUGCCCUGUAUUUGAGGCAGGAGGGCAGCGAUUUUACCAAGUUUUAAAUUUCAAAACAGUGAAGCAGCUAAAAGAGGCUGUAACAACCUAUGGUCCUCAAGCACCCUUCACUGUAAGCUUGGUCGAAUCCAUUAACAACUUGAACAUGACGCCAGCAGAUUGGGCUAAUAUGUGUAAAGCUGUGCUAAAUGGAGGACAAUACCUGUUAUGGAAGGUUGCCAAUGAGGAAUUUUGCAAGGAGACGGCU